rnacentral:rRNA from 1 species
AACGAACGCUGGCGGCAUGCCUAACACAUGCAAGUCGAACGAGACCUUCGGGUCUAGUGGCGCACGGGUGCGUAACGCGUGGGAAUCUACCCCUGGGUUCGGAAUAACAGUUAGAAAUGACUGCUAGUACCGGAUGAUGACGUAAGUCAAAAGAUUUAUCGCCCAAGGAUGAGCUCGCGUAAGAUUAGCUUGUUGGUGGGGUAAUGGCCUACCAAGGCGACGAUCGUUAGCUGGUCUGAGAGGAUGACCAGCCACACUGGGACUGAGACACGGACCAGACUCAUACGGGAGGCAGCAGUGGGGAAUAUUGGACAAUGGGCGAAAGCCUGAUCCAGCAAUGCCGCGUGAGUGAUGAAGGCCUUAGGGUUGUCAAGCUCUUUUACCAGGGAUGAUAAUGACAGUACCUGGAGAAUAAGCUCCGGCUAACUCCGUGCCAGCCGCCGCGGUAA